ensembl:lncRNA
AUGGUCAGGCGUGGCGGCCCCGGUCCCUCGGGUUGGCUCCCCGGCGUGGUCAGGUGUGGUGGGCCCGGUCCCUCUGGCUGGCUCCCCGGCAUGGUCCUGCAUGGUGGCCCCGGACCCUCGUACCUGCACACAAUAAUCAGGGCCGAUUCAUCUGGGUACGUGUGGGCCCUGUCUCCACACGUCCCCUCUGACACGUCUUGUGUCACCCCCCCUGCACCGCGCAGGGAGAUUGUCCCGGAGCCUCCGGCGACUGUUACAGGCACCCCAGGCUGGUGCCUUCUGGGACUAUGCAGACCCUCUCGCUGCACGGCCCUGGUGCCAAGGGGGGGGCAUUGCCAGACCAUCCGGGGGAGCACCCCCCCCCGGCUGGACUUAGGGGUACCUUGGGGCUCGUCCACCUCGCCUUGGACCGGUGCAGUCAGACUUGGAACUCCCUCCCUGGGGUUCGGCUCUGCUGCUGGGUCGCCAUCUGGUGGACACAAAGAGGGGAAAUGGGGGCGACAUACGGACACAUAUACCACGCACACACACACAGACAGAGACAGACAGAAGAGAGGGUCGUCUGGCUCCCUCUCUGGGCUCUCCGGGACCUCCUCAGGGGGCACAGCCAGGAUCUCGGGAGGAGCGACCUUCUCGUCGCCCACCAGUGCUGGGUCUUCUUGCCCCAGGAUCCUGACUGGCGCUGGCUCAGGCCGAUCAAACUCCGCCCUCAGUCUCUGCUGGAAAUCCCGAAAACUCCUUCUGUCGGUCUCUCCCUGCUGCCAGAGGGCUGCGCCCCAGCCCCAUGCUGAUCAAGUCAGACACGUGAGGAUGGUGGUGAUCUCAUUUGUGUCUGCUGCCCCACUGCAGGGUCCCGGGACCCUUGGGCUGUCCCAUACAGGGCUGGUCUCGUUGGUGGAGAUGGUGGUAGGUGUGUGGCGUGGGGGGUGGUGGACGUCUUCUCCAGCAUGCGGGGGCGCUGGUGCUGCGCUACCGAUCAGCUGGGGAACGUCCGGGCAGAGGGAAGGCGGGUCGGCGACCGGAGCUGGAAGGGCGUCUUCCCUGCGAGGCAGUCCCGGCAGUGCAGUUGCUGGCUGGCGACCUCCUGUCGCCCUCUUCCACCAGCUUACCCCCGCAUCACUGUCUUCCUCCUCGCUGUUGUCGCACCUCUGGGUGUGA